rnacentral:rRNA from 1 species
AUGAUGACAGCGCAAAUGCUGAAGUCCAUCAGCAUAGCUUCAGACGCCUUCUGUAGCAGCAUCCCGAGCUCCAGCAUCAGCCCUAAGCCAUCAGAACCAAGGCUGAUGCCGGCCUGUCUGCCCCUCGCAUUGGGGUCCCUGUUCUCCAUCAGCAACGACAUGACGAUGGUUACGUUCGUUAUGAUGAGGAACAGGAGCGGCCUUGUGCAAACCAGUACUCUGCUGAUGGUGCCACCAACGUCCAGCCCCCAGUUCGAAAGAACCACAAUGAAGGCGAUGAGAAUGGAUGCUAAGCAGCGGUUGAGCUCUGUGGCUGAGAUGGCCUGGGUGAUCUCCUGCGGCGUGAAAUCCACGAGUUGCUUCAGAGUUUCCAGAGACCAAGAUGAGUCGUCUGCUUGGUUAGGCUGGCUUGGGGGCACGGAUCUGGGUCUCAUUUCCAUGUCCCUCGGAGGCACAGAUCCCAUGUCCCUCGGAGGCACAGAUCUGGGUCUCAUUUCCAUGUCCCUCUUAGGCUGCACAGUUGCUGCUCCAUAA